AGCGAACGCUGGCGGCAGGCUUAACACAUGCAAGUCGAGCGGGCACUUUCGGGUGUCAGCGGCGGACGGGUGAGUAACGCGUGGGAACGUGCCCUCUGGUUCGGAAUAACUCAGGGAAACUUGAGCUAAUACCGGAUACGCCCUUUUGGGGAAAGGCUUGCUGCCGGAGGAUCGGCCCGCGUCUGAUUAGCUAGUUGGUGAGGUAACGGCUCACCAAGGCGACGAUCAGUAGCUGGUCUGAGAGGAUGAUCAGCCACACUGGGACUGAGACACGGCCCAGACUCCUACGGGAGGCAGGAGUGGGGAAUAUUGGGCAAUGGGCGCAAGCCUGAUCCAGCCAUGCCGCGUGAGUGAUGAAGGCCUUAGGGUUGUAAAGCUCUUUUAUCCGGGACGAUAAUGACGGUACCGGAGGAAUAAGCCCCGGCUAACUUCGUG
rnacentral:rRNA from 1 species